rnacentral:lncRNA from 1 species
GUGACCUGAAAUUAAUUUUAGGAUUUUCUAAUUUUCAUAAAACAUAGUGUUACUAAUUAUUAAGCUUCAAUUUACCAUAAUAGGGAGAAUGGUGAUGGAUUCUUACCCCAGAUCGGUGUUUAAAAUACUGCACUUUUCAUUGCACCUCCUAACGGUCCCCCGAUUUUUAGAAUUUUUCCUGCAAAAAUUAAAAAGAUCUGUCGUGU